rnacentral:rRNA from 1 species
AUACGGAAGGUCCGGGCGUUAUCCGGAUUUAUUGGGUUUAAAGGGAGCGCAGGCGGAGAUGCAAGCGUGACGUCAAAUUUCGGGGCUCAACCCCGUCUCGCGUCGCGAACUGCGUCCCUUGGUUGCGGGAAGGGGAGGCGGAACUCGCGGGUGAGCGGGGGAAUGCAUAGAUAUCACGAAGAACUCCGAUCGCGAAGGCAGCCUUCCGGCCCGUCAACGACGCUCAUGCUCGAAGGUGCGGGUAUCAAACAGGAUUAGAUACCCUGGUAGUCCGCACAGUAAACGAUGGACACCCGCGGUUUGGCCUAUAUGGCUGAGCCGCCAAGCGAAAGCGUUAAGUGUCCCACCUGGGGAGUACGCCGGCAACGGUGAAACUCAAAGGAAUUGACGGGG